GUGGGGAAUAUUGGGCAAUGGACGCAAGUCUGACCCAGCAACGCCGCGUGAAGGAAGAAGGCUUUCGGGUUGUAAACUUCUUUUAAGGGGGAAGAGCAGAAGACGGUACCCCUUGAAUAAGCCACGGCUAACUACGUGCCAGCAGCCGCGGUAAUACGUAGGUGGCAAGCGUUGUCCGGAUUUACUGGGUGUAAAGGGCGUGCAGCCGGAGAGACAAGUCAGAUGUGAAAUCCACGGGCUCAACCCGUGAACUGCAUUUGAAACUGUUUCCCUUGAGUGUCGGAGAGGUAAUCGGAAUUCCUUGUGUAGCGGUGAAAUGCGUAGAUAUAAGGAAGAACACCAGUGGCGAAGGCGGAUUACUGGACGAUAACUGACGGUGAGGCGCGAAAGCGUGGGGAGCAA
rnacentral:rRNA from 1 species